UGACGUUGGGAAAGCGAGCGGCGGAUGGGUGAGUAACACGUGGGGAACCUGCCCCUAAGUCUGGGAUACCAUUUGGAAACAGGUGCUAAUACCGGAUAAUAAAGCAGAUCGCAUGAUCAGCUUUUGAAAGGCGGCGUAAGCUGUCGCUAAGGGAUGGCCCCGCGGUGCAUUAGCUAGUUGGUAAGGUAACGGCUUACCAAGGCGACGAUGCAUAGCCGAGUUGAGAGACUGAUCGGCCACAUUGGGACUGAGACACGGCCCAAACUCCUACGGGAGGCAGCAGUAGGGAAUCUUCCACAAUGGACGCAAGUCUGAUGGAGCAACGCCGCGUGAGUGAAGAAGGUUUUCGGAUCGUAAAGCUCUGUUGUUGGUGAAGAAGGAUAGAGGUAGUAACUGGCCUUUAUUUGACGGUAAUCAACCAGAAAGUCACGGCUAACUACGUGCCAGCAGCCGCGGUAAUACGUAGGUGGCAAGCGUUGUCCGGAUUUAUUGGGCGUAAAGCGAGCGCAGGCGGAAAAAUAAGUCUAAUGUGAAAGCCCUCGGCUUAACCGAGGAAUUGCAUCGGAAACUGUUUUUCUUGAGUGCAGAAGAGGAGAGUGGAACUCCAUGUGUAGCGGUGGAAUGCGUAGAUAUAUGGAAGAACACCAGUGGCGAAGGCGGCUCUCUGGUCUGCAACUGACGCUGAGGCUCGAAAGCAUGGGUAGCGAACAGGAUUAGAUACCCUGGUAGUCCAUGCCGUAAACGAUGAGUGCUAAGUGUUGGGAGGUUUCCGCCUCUCAGUGCUGCAGCUAACGCAUUAAGCACUCCGCCUGGGGAAGUACGACCGCAAGGUUGAAACUCAAAGGAAUUGACGGGGG
rnacentral:rRNA from 1 species